AGGUUUGUAAGAAUUUAUUAGGAAUGAGAUACAUCAUUUGCUUUUGAAUAUGUAUUGGUUUAUAUGAAAUUUGGGUUUAUAUAACAGUGAGUUUGAAUCGAUUAUUGAAUUAUUGACUGUGAUAAUGAGUUGAAUUUAGUCAUUCUCUUUAUCUAUUUAAGUGAUUAUAUUAUGCUUUGUUGAUAUUUGUACAGUUUGUAAGUGUUCAAACUGGAUUUGUGCUUUUAGAUACAAGAGAUUUGCAACCCAAUUAGCAACGAGUACUGGUCUAUAGGGUUUAUAAUUUAUAAAGAAGGAUUUCUGGAAAUGGUGAAAAGCAAAACCAAAUUGAAGCUCAUUGUUUGCUUGACAUUUGAGAUCCGGAGUGAAAUAAUUGUCGGGAUUCGGAGUGAAAUAAUGGGAUUCAGAGUUGUCAUUAAGUGAGACUUCAACUGAGGAUGGUAUUGAGAAAACUUAGUUUAAUUGCUUUUUUUACGUGGAUGACAAUCUUACUAUACAAAGGAAGAUAACUUGAUGCUGAACUUGAAGUUGGAGAUAACAUGGCGUUUAAGGAGAAGCCUUUGGCGACAAACCAAAAGUCUAUAGAGUUAUUGAAAAAGACACUAUAGAAAGUGAUGUUUUGUCGAAAGAGAGACUUGAAAAGAAAGGUCCAACCAUCUUUGUUAGUAGUGGGUCCAGUGGGCCCGGGCUUGCCUACAACAGAAAAUGAUGGGCCUGUUUCUGAUACGAUGUUAUAACUUGGUUGCAGUAGUGAAUGAAGAUUGGGUUUGUUGGGAUAGAUGUGUGAAAUGGAGGCUUUUACCAACUGAUGUAAAUCCUAGCAGCCUUCUUAGAAGUGGCUCUAUAGCAUACUUGAUAUUUCAAACUACCAUACUUUGCUAUUUUGUUGCAAUACUGGGUUUACACAUAUGUUGUAGAUGACCUGGAGGUCGUAAAAAGGGUUGUGUACCACUUAAAAUGGAAUUGGGUGGAAAAUACAGAUUUUUAUACGUGUUAAAGAAGAGCAGGCAGAUUACCAUGACAACAAAUUCAAAGGUUUGUAGCUAUCGGUUGUUUACUGUCCUGAGUGAAAUGCUUGACCAAUAUCUUUGAAUUAAGGAGUGUUUGAUAUUUAGCAUCAUGUAUGCAAUGCUUUUGUUACCGAAGAGAUGCAGAAGCAUAAGUUUAUCGACUUCAUUGUGCAAUUGAUGGAAGUAAGAAUUUAGUCUACUUUAUUUAUUAUUACCUUUAGCUGAACCUUUUUAAUUUUUAAACUGACUGUGAAAGGUAACCAUGAACUGAACACCCCUACUUCAAAAGAACGGUUUACUUUGAGAUAUGACACAGAAAGUGGAGCGUUGCUAACUGAGUUCACCAUUUGGGUCUAACAUGAUGGUAAAGUUUUGAGAUAUGAUUAACAACCUACUUUCUUUAAUUUUUUUUAUGCUGUUGUAGUUGAAAUUGUCAUUACUUUUUAAGAGUUAUUUGGUGUUUUGUAUAUUUGGCCAUUAUCCCGUUAUCAAAAUUUUCAGGCCAACAAGGAUAUAAAGAUAUAACUGCACAAAUCAUACAAGCAACCAUUGUUGGAGAUAUUAUUCUUGCAUUAACUAAUGCUAAUACAAACUAUGCCACAGGUUUAUAUUAUUAUUCUAAUUACGUGUUUAGAAAUUUAAGCCUACUUAACUUUUUCUUAUAUUAAUAGCUUAUUGCACUGGGCUUUUAUAGAAUCCAACACUAUAUUCUAUAAAAAAAAUGGACACCCAAUUAAAGGCUGGCUUAAAAGAUGCAAAUUAAAGGCUAUUAUGCACAUACCAAACUUGGUCAUGGCUCUAGAUCAGUUGGUAAUAUGUAGCAGACUAUUUAUGUGACAUGAAAUAGAUUCAUACUAAAAACAUGUUUAACUUUUAUUUGGUGUAUCUAUUCAAAUUUAUGUCUCCUCACUCAUAUUCUCUUUUUUUUGUGUUUUGAUGUUCUAACAGUUCGGUGGCUGACUUUGUGUCAUGCGUUUAUGCAUAUCGGUUGUUUGUUCCGUUCUUCUUUGCACAUACUACAUUUUAAUUUAUGGGAGGGUGAAAUUUAAAGGUGGCAAGAAUUGGGUUUUGGUCUUCAGGUGGCAACAAUUUGGGUGUUUUGGGUGAACUUUGAGGAGGUUAAGGAAGAGCUUAAUCUGGUUCCAUCGGUUCCUCAAAAGUCUCUUGCUCACCAGAAAUACGAAAAUAUGCUGAUGUGGUUAAAGCUUCUGUUAAUGAACAUAUUAAUUGAACCCUAUAUCAUUAUAGUUGAGACUUGAUUCAUUCAAUGGGUGCCAAACUCAUCUAUUUCCAAUUCCACCAGAAAGCACCAGUUUGUAUCAGCAGUUUAGCACCUUCACGGGCUUCAAGUAUGUGUGUUCCUACACUUAUUCUUACAUUAUUUGUGUAAUCAUUUUCUAUUCAUGGCUAUCUGAAGUGCCUAUUUUUUUACUGAAUAUGUUUCUGUAAUGUUUAUUUUUAUGUAUGUAUUUAUUUCGUUGUACCUUUUAUGAUUGAGACGCUUUCGGACCCACCGUUGAUUGAGAUGUAACACAUAGGAGGAUAGAGUGCUCUAAGAGGUUCAAAAGCUUCAGAAUGUGGGGGACCAAUAUAUCACCCACUCUGAAGGCGAAUAUACAUAAGAAAGGUGGGAGGUUUAUUGGUACUCCAAGGACUGACACUACCACUCCCAUGACAGGUAAAAGUGGUAAAAGUCGGUGAGGGGAUAACCAUUGCUGACCUGCAUAGGUUAAAUAAAAAAAUAAAUCUGCUGUUAAUGUGAAAUGGUUGAUGAAGUGUUUUAUCUACUUCAGACGAGCAAUUGCAGGGUGCGACGGGGGAUGAAGACGAGUCUGCGGUACAUAUCACAAACAGAAAGCAAGCGGAAGUUGUACCCAAGAGAAUAUUCUUGAAUGUUGCUAAACCAAGCUCCAAGUUUGUAAACGAGCUGAGCUGCAAUUGAGUUACUUGAGAUUGGCCUUGAAUCGAGCCGAGCAUAUUUAAUAAACAAGCGCGAGCUACGCUUAUGGAGCUUGACUAGAUGUGUGCUUUUUUAAAAGUUUUGCUUUCACACCUUAGUUCAUCACUUCAUGACUUGCUUGGGUUAUAGAAUUUUAAGUUUUGAAGUUGCAAUGCUCUUAUCUAGCUCCAAGCUGUUCAAGUCCCAUCAUAUUUCUAUCUAAUAUAGGGCGAUGACAUUGAGAUAACACCAGAUUGGAUAUUUAACCAGAGUUUCGCUGCAUCUAGGCCAGAUGCUGCUACAUCAAGUAGUGUGGAUGCUAGAUGAUCUCAUGGGGAUGGAAGUUAGAUUCUCAUACUUACGAGUUUUUUCAUACUUUUGGAAACAUUAGAUGGGGAAUAUUAACAUUGUUAUGGUCAGACACGACUCAUUGGGUUGUUGAGUCACUAUGUUUUUUAACGAUGAUAAAGUGGUUUUAUGUUGCACACGCGUACAAAGGAAGAUGGAUGAUUUUUGAUGAUGAUAAAGUGGGCGUAUCUAAGAAUCCUCCAAAAGACAUUGCAUACCUCUCUUUUAUUGGAUGAUUCAAAGUUGAGUAUUUUUAUCUUAUUCUAUGACUUGGAUCUUUCUUUUGUCCAAGGUCAAUUUGUAUACAGAAGAGGGAAACACAAAGAUAGUGGAGGGCUCUACUGACUCAACUAGGAUCUUAUAUUUUGUUAUGUUAAAAACGGUUGAUUGUUGAAUGAUGUUACCACAUUUGUACUAAUUUUCAAGAUUGCUUGAUUACAUUUGUACUAAUUUAUUUGGUUCAAA